rnacentral:lncRNA from 1 species
AUGUUUCUCUGGUUUGGAAACGAAUCUCCUCGUCGCUGUAAAGUGUUCUCGCGGGGUGGGACAGGGAGAGGAGAACUGCGAGGGGGAAGCAGAGACAGAGAGCGGGGAGGGCAAGGGUCGCCUUCCCCGGGGCCCGCUCCCCUCGGGAGCGCGCCUUUCCCAGACUCGCACCUCCAAGGUCAGGACGCCGUGGUUCCACAUAAGCGGCUGGCGGUCACCACUUCUUUCAGGUCACUCUCGGGUUUCCCGGCCACCAUAAAGGGCCACGUCUGCAGGAGAGAAGAGGGUGGAGGAGGAUAUACGAAAAGAAAACAGACCAGCCUCUUUCCUGAUAAGAAGAGUAACGAAGAAGGCCAUUCUGUAAGAACUAAGUGGAAGUGUCCACAGUAAAGCUCACUUCAAUUCCAAACACGAAGUCCUCGUCCAACGGCGCAUGGGAGGCUUUUUGGCUGCCACAAGCUGCCCCCAGAGAAUCCACUCAUUCUGUGCGCUUGUCGACUGUGUCAUAGCUCAGCUCAAGUCUCCGCAAGAUAAGCUCUUCAAGGCGGAACAUUUCCAGCUGUUGUGGUCAGACAGCAGCAGGUUCUUAUCUGAGGAUAGCAGGGCCAUGCGGCACACCGCAGCCGGGGCAGUGUCGGGGAAGCAUGUGGUCUCUGUACACAGUAGCAAGGCCCAGUAGACAGCAAUUAGCACCAGGAGAAUGAAGAUGAACGGGGCAUAUACAUAACCUUCAUAAAAAUGUCACAGCGAAAAAGACUCACAAACCAUAUGGAUCCAUGCCUAGGCUCUCCCUGGGAUGGCCUUUUACAUUACACUAGUCCAAGGGAUGGCUUUUAAAAAGAGUUUUUUUUUUCACUGCUGUGUCUUUCUGACGAGCCCCACCAAAAGAAGUAAAGAAGUAGGCUGCCUCUGUGAUGCUGAAUGAAUCAAUCUUGACAUUUUGUGGCUUUCUCCACUCCAAGUUUCUGGACCAGCAUUCUCAUCUGCAUCUGUUGAUAGGUAAUUAAGUAGACAGCUGCCUCUGAUACUAUUUUCUCUUUUACAUUUAGUGAUGUUGUUCUGAACCAAUGGGUAUUUCAGGUAUGUCCUUAUUCAUUUUCAAAAGACCAGUACUUAAAUAUUUUUUCUUAGCAAAGAAAUAAGCCCUUACUGGCUGAUUUAAGCAGAAAAAAAAUUUAUUUAAAAGGAUUUUAUGUCACUUGCAAGAUAACCAAGAUGGCUACAGAAUCAGUCCCAAGAAAUAGCCAUGAUAUAUAAUUCUAUAUAUACUUUAUACUAAAGUUAUAUAUCAUAUAUACUUUGAUGCAGCAAUUUCACUUCUAGGUAUAUAUCUAUUAGAAAUGAAACCUGUUUUCUCCAAAAGAUAUAUCAUAGCCCCAAACUGAAAUAUAUUCAAAUGUUCAUCAACUGUAGAAAGUAUAAAUAAAAUAUGAAAAAAAAAUAUCGUACA